rnacentral:rRNA from 1 species
AAUGAACGUUGGCGGCGUGGAUUAGGCAUGCAAGUCGUGCGACAAGUCCGCUUCGGCGGAUGGAGGAGCGGCGCAAGGGAGAGUAACGCGUAGAUACCUACCCUCGGGUUCGGGAUAGCGGCGGGAAACUGCCGGUAAUACCGAAUAACGUCCCCGGACCAAAGGUGUGAUUCCGCCUGGGGAUGGGUCUGCGUCCUACUAGCUUGUUGGUGGGGUAACGGCCUACCAAGGCAAAGAUGGGUACCGGGUGUGAGAGCAUGGCCCGGCUCACUGGGACUGAGACACUGCCCAGACACCUACGGGUGGCUGCAGUCGAGAAUCUUCCGCAAUGGGCGCAAGCCUGACGGAGCGACGCCGCGUGCGGGAUGAAGGCCUUCGGGUUGUAAACCGCUGUCAGUGGGGAGGAAAUACAUGAGGGUUCUCUCUCAUGUUUGACCGAUCCGCAGAGGAAGUGCAGGCUAAGUUCGUG